rnacentral:lncRNA from 1 species
GACAGCUGUUCAUUUUGGGUUUCAAAUAUUGGAAUUUUCCUCUAAUUUAAGGUUUAAAUGUUUUAAAGCCUAAAACAUGUUCACAAGCGGCAUAAAGACUCUGAAUGAUAUGGUACUUGGCUCUUGGGUGAGUUGAGCUCCUAUAACAAAGGUAUUAUUAGUAC